UCCAGGAAUCUUCGGGCGCAAGAAAUCUUCUUGACCAUGAAGCAGUUUUUUGCCCUCGCGAUUCCCACUGCAAUGAUGACUUGGUAACGAAACCCUGUGCAAUUUUAUAAGAAAAUAAUAAUAAACGCUUUUUGCUUUUGAUCUUCAACGAAUCUUUAACUCUCAGCAUUCUUUAUGUUCGAUCUUUUCAAUGGAUCUUUUAACUCUAUUUUUGGUCUUUUUGUGUGUAAGUAAAGCCUGGAAUGGUGGUCGUUUGAGCUUCUUAUACUAAUGUCUGGACUCUUACCGAACUCAAAGCUAGAAACAUCGGUGUUAUCCAUUUGGUAUAUUGCACAUAUAUUUCACUUUUAAAAAAAAUUCUAACAUAAACCCUAUUUCCUUUUCAAACAAGCUUCUGAUAUUUGUAGUCUUUAUUCUUUGAACAGCCUGACAAUGUCGUCUCUGCAUUAUGUUUUGGUGUCUGGAAUAGGAGCAGCCGCGAGGUUUUAUAGAUAUUAAAUGUUCAUAAGAAUCUAUCUUUUUUAUUGGAAAUCUGUGAACCCUUGUUUUCUUUUUUUUUUAAUAGCACACAUGUCUCGAACGAGUUAGGAGCUGGAAAUCCAAAGGCAGCUCAAGCCGCGGCUAACUCUGCGAUUUUCCUUGGUGCUAUUGAUGCUGCCAUAGUAAGCAUCACUCUCUAUAGCAACCGAAAAAAUUGGGCUUAUAUAUACAGCAAGGAGAGUGAAGUGGCUCACUAUGUAACUCAAAUCACACCCAUUCUGUGCUUAUCCAUUGGUGUUGACAGCAUUCUCGCCGUGCUCUCAGGUAAUCAGUUCACAUCAAAUCAAAAGAUAUUGUGUAUAGUAGAAUGUACAGACCAAAGCAUUUCAGACUAAGAAAGAGCUGGAGUCUGGAGAGAUGAUUGCAUCUCUCACUUGAAGUCCAAGAAAGCUAUAUAUUUAUCUGUCUUGAUAAACCCUAAGAUUCUUGCUUCUUCAGGAGUUGCUAGAGGAACAGGGUGGCAACAUAUAGGAGCAUAUGCAAACAUAGGAUCAUAUUAUCUGGUCGGAAUUCCGGUGGGUUCGAUCUUGUGUUUCAAUGUGAAAUUGAGAGGGAAAGGACUAUGGAUCGGUAUAUUGAUAGGCUCUACACUACAAACGAUUGUUCUUUCUCUUGUCACUUUCUUCACCAAUUGGGAACAAGAGGUAAAGGUUUUUUUUUUCUUUUUCAUUAUGUUCGUGUUAUUGCUAGAGUCUAAAUCUUGUUUUGAUUCGGGUUUUAGGCAGCGAAAGCUAGAGACAAGGUAAUCGAGCUGACACCACAAGGCAACCAAGAAACAGAAAGCAUAUUAGAAGAGGAUGUACAAGUUUUAUUACAGGAUGUUUCAGAAAAUGUGUAAGACGCUUAACAUGAAUCAUGAUGUUGUUCUUGUCAAAUUUUAUGAAAUCUUGAUUUGCACUAUAUAUAUAUAUAUAUAUCUAUAUAAAUAUAAAUUGGACUCGUUGUAUGCAGAAAAUUUGAGAAAUUAAGAUGCAACAAUUUCAUAAUAGUUUCAUAAUAGAAACAAAACAAAUAAAAGGCAUAUCACUGUGUUGGUUUUUUGAGGAAUUUUUCACAAACUUUCCAGAAAUUGCAUCUGUUAUUGGCACGUUUUAGAUGUUUUGGUGAAUUAGAAGCUUUUACUUAUAUUACAAUGAUGGGACAUAUUACUUCCAAAUUGUAUGGAUCUUUUUAGAUUAGAUUUUAUCAAAUAUUUAACUUUUAUGUGAUGCAUGAUAUUUUUUUUCCAAGUAACAUAUACCUUUAUGUACAUUGCUUGCAAAGUUUAAAAUGCAACAUUUGUAUCUCUCACAUUGGAAUUAUGAGGUAAAAUUCAACUUAUAUAUAAGUUGGAGAAUCUAUGUGGUGUAUUGGAGAGAAAGAUAGUCGGACCAAACUCUUGGAUCAAACUUAUCGUUUUUGUUCUAGGUUGCUUUUUCUAAAAAGUUUAAUUAAAACACUAAUCGGCUGUUCUUCUCAAAUAUCUCGUUUUCAAUUUUGACAUCUUCGAAUCCUUGUAUAUUUGUAAUCAUUUUUUUCCCUGCCUCAUUUAAAACUUAAUAUUGGGAUUAUAUAUAGAUUACUUGGCUAUGAAAUCUUAAUUUCUAAAGAGUGUGUGAAAGAUAUUCCACAUGAGAAGUUGGGAGAGAUCUUAGGCUAAUCCACUCAUUACCAAUUGGUUUUGAGUUAGAAGUUAAAGAAAUUUAACAUGGUAUCACAGCCCGAUCCACACACUUUUAUAAUUCGACCCAAAAGUGGUUUGUAUCCUCAGACCCAAAAUUGAUUGUCUAACGAGAUUUAAUGGCUAGAAUAACCAUUAUCUCGAGGGAGGGUAUUGGGAUUAGGUAGAGAUUAUUGAGUCAUGAAGCUUUAAUGUCUAAAAGAACUAUUACUUCGAAGGUGGGUAUUAGGAUUAGGUAGAGAUUAUUGGUCAUGAAAUCUUAAUAUCCCACAUCAAAAGUUGGGAAAGAUCUUAGGUAAUAUAUAAGGGAUUUGAGUCAAUUCAUUCAUUGCUAAUUGGUUUUGAGUUGAAAGCCUAGAAAACUUAACACUUUUUGCCAUAAACACGAUUCUCACAUGUUCUAAUGUUCUAGUGUUGAUUUCAAAACCUAAUAUAUGGCCUCUUAAGCUCAUCUCUGUCAUGGAUGUUUGAGGUUUGCUGUAAAUAUGAAAAUUCUCGAAAUUGCUUGAGGCGCAAAUCUUAAAUAUAAUGCUUGGUUGUGUUGCUUGUUGCUUGGGUUUUUGAUUUCGUGAGUGUAAUUCAUAGCUCUUUGUAGAAAUUAUGCCACAUUCUUCUUUUUUUGACGUAAUUAUGCCACAUUCAUAUUACCCAUAUUUGCAAAUUUAGAGAAAAUUUUGGAAAUGUGUUGUAACUUUGAGUUUUGGAUAUGAGUUCACGUUAUUGCUUUGUAAUUGUCAACUUCUGUUAUGAAAUGUUCUCAUGCAUCGUCGUGCUUAUAUGAACGUCAUCUCUUUAUAUCGGUGCAUUGAUUUGGUUGACUUAGACAUGCCUUGUUCUAAUUGUGAACAUGAAGCUCUAGGCACAAUGGCACCAAACACCGCGCAUGGAGCAGAAAUAAACGAUUGAAACCAACAUGCAUCUGAACAAAUUUAUCUCUUGGAAAGUAGAUCCAAGAGUCUCAAGCCUUGUCGAAGCUACUUGCUUCAAAUAUUUUUAAAAUCAUAAUGAAGGUCAACAUAGGCAAAAUUUGCCACUCAGCUUUGUCGCACUUUUCUGAUGAAAGAAAAAAUGCAUUUACUUUCCGAAGAAGAGAUGGUUUUACUAUGUUGAUUUUGGCCUCAACGACAUCUUGUAUAUUACUAGACUUCCCAUUGACGGGAAGCAGGUACGUACUUCUUAUUUUUUUAUUUCAUUGCUGGAUUUCUCAUUGUUGGUUUUUUAUAUGCUCAAUUGGAAGACAUGUAUCGGCAUAUGAGAGUGGCAAUAGCAUGGGUACAGUUGCAGAAAACUUAAAAUUAAGUAAAUAUGUUGCUAAAGCAUUUUCUCGUGAUAAGAUAGGAAGAAAUUGCUUCAACAUCUACCUCUAUAAAUGUGCGAGAAGAUAGUGAGGAGCUGAAUUUAGAGGCUUAUUGCCUUAUCUAAUGGCAUAUAUAUCUCUUUUUGUUUAGGGGGAAUUGCGGCUAAUCCUAAACAGUACUAAAACUAUUUAUGCCAUGUUUUUACCACUACUAGGAACAACGAAGGGCAUAAUAUAUGCAAAGAUUCAUUAGAAAAGUCAAAUAAUAAAGGAUAAUCUUACUUUAUACUUGAUGUUUACCCCAAGUUUAUGUGGUUUUUCAUAUGCUCUCAUGGUAAGGUUUAUGAAAACACAACCUAAUUACUAUAAUUCAUGAUACAUGAAUGAUGUUAACUGACAAUUGUUUUUUUUUUCUUUCGUUUAAGUAUUUUCAUUAGAGCUAUUUCCAAUUUAUAAAUUUGCAAAUAUAGGAUACGUACACGAAAAUUUAUCUCUUGGACAUCUCUCGUAUGCAAAUACUUACAUAAGAAAACAUAAGAACAACAAUUGUUGGUAAACAUCAUUCAUGUACUUUGAAUCAAAGUAAUUAAUUCUUGUUUUCAUUUAUAGAACUUACUGUGAAAGCAUAAGGGUUUUGGUUUUUUUCCAAUGAAUCUUUGUGGAAUGCCAACAUUGCUUCGAGAUAACCACAGUUCCCAACAAGAAAAAUCUAAGUGAAUAGUUGACAGAUUUUCUUACCAUAUUGAAAAGGCUGUUUAUGAUGAUAAAUUUUUGUAUUAAUGAGAUAUAACUGCAUUUUUUGGUUUUGAAUAUGAUAAAUUAUCCACGAUACACUAUGAUCUCUUAUUAUAUGGCGAAUAAUAUAAAUAUAAGAUAAAAGCUAAUAUUAUUCUUUUGAAAUUUUGAAACUAUCAACAUAUACAUGUAUUCUGAAUAAAUAUAUACUAUUCAGCACAUAAACCAUGUAGUUAUAUUUAUACAAUAAUCUAAUUGAAACAGUUCUUUAUGGCAGUGAUAGAUUCAAAAUUUCAAAAAAAUAACAUUAGAUUUAUCUUAUAUUCGUAUUAUUUAUCGUAUAUUGAGAGAUGUGUAAUGUAUGAUAAAAAAUUUAUUAUAUUUAAAAUUUUAAAAAUAUUUUUAUAUCUUUUUAAUGCACUAAUUUAUCAUUAAAAACAAUAUAUUCAAUAUGGUAAAAAAAAGUUGUAGCAACAAAAAAAUUAUGGUAAAGUUAAGAUAAAUAAAAAAAUAAUGUUUUUUUCGUGGUAGACAUCUUAGUUACAAAAACAGUAAACCUAGUUUUCUUAAUAAAUAAUUUACAAUUUUAAAAUUAACAUAUUGCUUUAUAUUUUGUGUAUAUAUGUAGUCAUGAAAUAAAUAAAACAGAUGGUUGUUAUGUAUAUAAAAUCUCAGAAUCAAUAGAGAAAAUACAAGAUUAAGACUUCUAUAUUUGGUUUUUAUAGAUAAUUUAAAGAAAAAUGGAUUAAACAAAUAAAAAGUGAUGACAGAAGGCUAAAGAGCACAAAGGAGUAAGAUGCAAAAAACUGUUCCGAAUUGGAUCUCAUCAUCUGUGCUCUCUAUCUUCUGUCAACACUAUCAAUGCCUCUCAAAAACUUUCAAAAAAGAAUUUUGGAUUUAGGAUUGAAAACAAGUAUAUGGACAUCAGAACUUGACAAAAGUAUGGGAUUUUUUAUUUAGGAUUGAAAAUACGUAUGAGAUAGUAUAAGAAUUUUGGAUUUAGGAUUGAAAUACGUAUGAGAUAUUAAAAGAAUUUUAGAUUAGGAUUAAAAAUAUGUAUGAGAUAUUAAAAGAACCUACAACAAACCUUUGAUGGACAUCAGAACUUGACAAAAGUAUGGGAUUUUUUAUUUUCUAUGGCAUACGGCUGUGUAUAGGAGAACUUAUAACAUAUAUAUGUAUGGGUUUAGAGAAUUACCAAUGGAGUUGUUGAUGAGACGAUGAUGAGGAGAUUUCUUGAAGCCACUAUUUAUAGACACAAAUAGAGCAGCGAGAUGAUUUCUCCGCUCCAAUUGCAUCAAUCUUUUUGUUUCAACAAGUUUGGAAUAAUGUUGUAGGUAAUUGGUUCCUUUGGUAUAUACGGCUUUUAAA
rnacentral:lncRNA from 1 species